CUUUCCUCAGGCCAGGAAUGUUGCAGGAGGCCCUCUAUGAGCCUCUGGAUCCCAGCUUGAUCUACAAAUGACAUCUCUAUAUCUAUCUUGAAACAGAGAAGAGGGGGGGAAUUCCACAUUAGCUACAGGUUGUGCUUUCCCAGUGCUGCUUGUGAGUACAAAGCCAGCAAAACAAGAAACAAUACACAAAAUGACAUCACAGCAUGACUGCAUCAGGGCAGGAACGUGCUUAGGAUCACCCUCCAGGCUGAUGACUCAGGCAACAACCUCCUCAGAGAGUGAAUGAGGACAGGAGGAGAUUGUAUCAUCACAGUAAAAUCACUGCUGCAACGUAAUUCCCACAUCUGCACCUGGGGCACUGCAGCCAGCCAAGGACAGGAACCACGCACUCAUCCCACCCCAACUUCCAAGGGCUGUGUCUGUAAAACACACACCAAAGCAGCACCAGACUAGCACAGACUAAGGCUCCAGAAGGGAAAACAGCUCUGAGCCACUUGGGUUGAGGAGCAAAGGAGCAGAGGCUGGUUACCUGGGUGAAUUCUGGCUGCCUGUCAGGCCGUGAACCCUCGUCCCGGUAGCAGCGAGCGACCUGGAAGUACCUGCAGUGACACUGUGACUUAGAUAAUGAUUUAAAGUAUCCUGAACUCAACUGUGGCUACAGAAUUGAUCAUACAAAAGAUAAGGAAAAAAGAAGUAAACCAGAGAGAGAGGGCUCUGUUCCCAUAGCAGAUGAUCUUUGUUCCCAUCCCUUCAAAAUAAUGGAAUUUUGAGUGGAAUCAACUCAUCUGUAUCCAUCUGCAGCCAUAUGUUCCAGAGGCACACGGAGGCUGCCAGGUGAGCUGUCCCCCAAGGGCACCACACAACUCUUUAUUCCACCUUCCACUCCACUCCAGGACUCUCCUAACAGCCAUGCAAAACUCUCAGACAAAGCUGGCCUGCAGUUAACCAUGUGAACAAUUGUCUGUCUCCCCAUCCAUCUGAUGUGGAGAAGUAAGCUCAAUUAAAAGCUUUGCACUUGGGCACCCUGA